AGAGUUAAAUAGUACGUGAAAUUGUUGAAAGGGAAACGAUUGAAGUCAGUCAUGCUAGUGAAAAUUCAGUUUGACGGGUUUUGGGUUUGGGAGUAGAGGCAGGGUCAAACCGUUUCUCUUUUGAACUUGGGAUUUGUCAGAUGCACUUUUUCUUUGGCAGGUCAGCGUCGAUUUCGGAGGUUGUAAAAUACUUGGGGUAAAGUAACUCUGCUUCGGUAGAGUAUUAUAGACCCUGAGGGAUGCAGCCUGCGGGAUCGAGGAUUGCAGCAAAUGCCUUUGGCUUGGCGCCUGAUCUCUGGAUGUUACCUCGCUUGUGACAACAUUCUUGCCUCCGGUGAGUACUAAUGCCCAUUAGGUUAGAGCGACCAGAAAUUUGCUAAGGAUGCUGACGUAAUGGCUUUAAACGACC
rnacentral:sRNA from 1 species